CGACUUGAAGAUCUGGUGAGCAUCGUCGUUCCGGCACGAUUUCCGGCCAGCGCAGGUCACUUCGCCGGCUGGGAAGGGUCGGGGAAGGAAGAGGACGUCUUCCUGGUCGUUUUGGUACCGGCCUAGCCCACAGUCGUGGUCGGUGGUCGGAGUUACAAGCUGAAGAAGGAGGAGGGGCGGAGAGGGAGGGAGGUCGGCGCGAGGAGAGAGAGAGCUGAGCAGGUUUUUAUAAAUCCAACUUCGAAAUAUUUACGGUUAUGCCACUAAGACUCUUUUAACCAUAACUCUCUCGCUACAACUCCGAUUCGGG
rnacentral:lncRNA from 1 species